GCGCAGCAGUCGCGAAUACUUUACAAUGUGCGAAAGCACGAUAAGGGAACUCUGAGUGCCUCCUAAGGAGGCUGUUCAGGUGUCUAAAAAGCACCUGGAGUAAGGGCUGGGUAAGACCGGUGCCAGCCGCCGCGGUAACACCGGCAGCCCAGGUGGUAGCCACUUUUAUUGGGUCUAAAGCGUCCGUAGCCGGUUGAGUAAGUUCCUUGGGAAAUUUGGCUGCUCAACAGUCAAGCUUCCAGGGAAUACUGCUUGACUUGGGACUGGGGAGAGGUCAGAGGUACUCCAGGGGUAGGGGUGAAAAUCCAUUAAUCCCUGGGGGACCACCGGUAGCGAAGGCGUCUGACCAGACCAGGUCCGACGGUGAGGGACGAAGGCUAGGGUCGCGAACCGGAUUAGAUA
rnacentral:rRNA from 1 species